GAACAAGGUGUUAGUACUUUUUUUCCUUCUGGACAUAAGAAGGAACAUUAAAAAUGGAAUCAAACUACUCAAACUAAUCACCUCCUAAAUACAGCCAGUCUGCUCAUGGCCAGUCUGAAGAUUGUGUCUGGAACAUCAAGGUGCAGCUCCCACCCAGCUGUGUAUCUCCUCACAGCAAAAGCAGCAUGCAGUGCCUGGUGGCUGGCCAAAUUUUGAACCAGAACGCAGCUGCCUUGUUAGAAGGGCUUCCACUCCAUUAAUCCCACCAAAACUAAACAGCAGUAGAAAUAGCAGAGAAAACUACACACAGCAGAUGUUCAGCAAGUCAUCAGUAAAAUUCUGGAAGACACUCAGGUAUUACAGUGAUGUAAACUCCACAGACUUCAAUGUCAUACAUGAUGAUUCAACACUUUCAGGAUCUUACUGUGAUAUUCCAAGCCAGACAGUGUGAUUUAUUUUUUUUUCCCUAGAUAAAACUUUAUUGGAUGAUAACGUUUCAAACCCAAGGAUUAUGGAUCUGGCAGGAAAAAAAAACAUUGUUUAUCCUGGAGUCAGCUAUUUAUUUUAUAUUUUAAGAGACUGCAGCCCUUUGGAACUACACUUCUGUGCUUGCUCUCUCAGAAGCACACAUCUGAAUGAAAACGGGAUGGAAUCAACCAAACUGUAGGAAAGAAGAGCCAGAUUUUCCUUUGAUUUAAAAGAGUUUUUAGUGAUCUAUUUUGAUACAUAGCAGAUUAUGGUUUGACUUGUGCACUUUUGAAAAAGAAAAUCAAUGUUCCCAGUCUCUGGUUCCACUUUGUGGUGAUACUGUGGUAUUUGAGGAUCUUGUAAUUGCCUUUGAUAACAAUAUGUAAAAUAAAAAAUGAGAAAUAAAUCUACUGGCUUCCUUG
rnacentral:lncRNA from 1 species